AUCUUGUAUAUAAAUAGGCAUAUGUACAAAGUCAUUGAUACAUAAUGGCACUUGGGACAGAUAGAGCUUCCUUGUUGAGGGUAAAUACAUCUGAUACAAAACAAGAAAACACAAUGGAAUUACAGCCAUUUAAAAUUGAAGUUCCACUCGUUAUUCAGCAGUUCAGAAAAUAUCUGGUUGCAAUAGUUUAGAACAUUGAAGACUCAUUAAAAUACAGCACCAGCACUGCUAUUUCUUUUGGUUUUCCUUUCAGAAUCCAUCAGAACUCAUACACAGAAAAUUAUACACAUGGGGAGCAGAACUACAACAUAGAUUCAAUAAACAUGGGUCUCCAUACAAAGAAGAAAUCAAGCUAGUUAGUAAAAGCCCUCACACUACUAAACUAUGUUGUACACUUACAAUAGCUUUGCUAAUCCGCAAAUCAACCCUAAAUUGGCAGGUGAGGUUUCCAUGGGUCGGGCCUUCGUUGUCUCCAAAAAUUCCAGACUACACACAGCCUUGAUCCCAGUCAAAUUAUACAGAAGCUGAUGUGAAUCUAAACAUGUACGAUUUUAAGAAUGUGUACGUAACAGCCUGGAAGCCAAAAAAAUUGAGGCAGCCUUGGAAACUGGAAAGUCGUCAAAUUACAUAGGCUAGGAAUCUAAAUAAAAAAGAAGCCACUUUCUAUGUGCAAACUUCUAUUCACAAAGAUAACAGACUAAGAAGCUAAUCGCCUAUCAAGUGAUGAUUUCUCUGACAAGCCAAUCCAAACUAGGAUAAGCAAAGUACAGUAUUAAAAAUGACGGAAUAGCAAACAGAACUGUAAUAAGAAUGUACAGGGCCAAAAUGGCUGCACUAGCAGGUAUGGCAUAUAAAAUGAUCAAAAGGAAUAUAAUGACCAAAGGAAACUUAGCUGUCAGAUGAAUGAAGAAAACCAGUGACUUCUGAAGGGAAGAAUUUAUUCUUCCAAAAUUGAGGAUAGCAUUGCCCUGAUUAUGGUCAUGGUUUGUUCUUGAUGGUUCUAGAAUAUGUCCCCUUCCGAUGUUACUGUGACUCGACUCAUUUCUGGGGGCUAAAUUGCUGUCUGGUGACCAUUGGGGUUGAUGAUCUUCACAGAAGGUAUUACAGGACUUAUGUCCAUCAUCAUUCUUACUUUCAACCAUCCAAAGUAGAAAGUAGUUCUUGCGAGGAAACUUCAAGUUACCUCUAUAGACAAGACGGAAGGAUAAGAGAUUGCACCACGGACAGGAAAUAAAGAGGGGAAGUUGAAUUGGUAAUGUCGGGAAUUUCACAACUGCCCAUUGAAGUCCUAGUACGCAAUUUUUACACAGCGUAUGACCGCACCAUAAAACAUAAGGAACAUUUUCCACAAUAUUGAAGGACUCCCAACAUAUUGGGCACUCUAGGCCUUCUUCUCUGCUAACAAGAGAAGACACCUCAUCAUCUGAGUAAUCUGAUUCUGAUGCAUCUUGAGUUAGCUUUGAAGUACUGCUCAAACCAACAUUUCCUGCUAUGCAGUUGGAUGCAAAAUUCCACAUUUUUAUAUCAAGGACAAGUAUCUUGAGAAAGCAGAAUCACAUGUUAUGCCUAUAGCAACUGAACCUAACAAUGGUCAUCAAUAAUCAUAAACUUAUACCAAGAAGGUCUCCCCUUGCUAAUUAUUAGCACCAUUAACCAUUUUGUCAAGCUUACCUGGAACAAGAUAGAAGUAAGAAUGAGAAUCAAACAAGUUUCCUCAUUAUUCAAGGCAGAGUUCAGUUGGGCAUCCAUUUCCAAUUUUUCAUUGCAAUGUGACAAAUUGCCAAUGAGUAACGUAUUAUAAUGACAGCCCAGUUAGGUGCUCAAUGCUAUCAGUACUCAGUAGCAAACAAUAUCAUUGAAUCAAUGCAUAAUCACCAAAAGAAAAUUGGAGAAUUAAAUCAAUUGAUUAGAAAGAAUAAGAAUAAGAUGACCAAAAGGCCUCAAUAACCAAGACUGAACAAAAAAUAUACAAAAAAAUUUAACCUAAUGAUGAAGGUAUCCACAUAGCUAAACCCAACUAGUUUGGGAUUAAGACUUGGUAGUUGUUCUUGUUGUUUGAUGAAUGGACCUAUCCAGUUUUCAGCCAAACCAGAUACCAUUGCUUCUAACCCCAAAGCACAAUGAGAAAUCCAUGGCAACAAGGCAUAUUCAUCACUAACUAUAAGAUUAGAGUGAUCUUUUGAUUAAACACACGGCUCUUACAUUAUUUACAUUCUAGUCACAUAAAUUCAUGUACAUAAGUUGUAUCCCUAGAAGAUUCACAAUGCCCACAUGCUAAGCUAGCUAGCAGCUACAAUUAAAAAUGCAGAGAAUAAACCUACAUCCUAGCACAAUAGAUAAUAAUGAUGAUAUUGACAAUGAAGAAUAACUAAUUGAUCACCUUAUUAUAUUAGAAUGCAGAUAGAGAUGGAUGUGAAUAUAAAAAAACGCCAUUUGAAGAUUUCUUGUGAAACAUGCACAGAAUCAGACUAUAAAAAAGGUUCAGUAGACAAAAUAAUCCAUGAGGCAGAGAUCAAUAACCUGAUUGGAAUGUCAAAUACAUCUAGUCAUUGGCAUACAGUUGCAAAUUCUAAUAAUCCCGACAAAAAUAGUUACCGCAGCUAUGGUUUUCUUUUUUUUUUUUUA
rnacentral:misc_RNA from 1 species